rnacentral:rRNA from 1 species
UGGGGAAUUUUGGACAAUGGGCGAAAGCCUGAUCCAGCAAUGCCGCGUGCAGGAUGAAGGCCUUCGGGUUGUAAACUGCUUUUGUACGGAACGAAAAAGCUUCUCCUAAUACGAGAGGCCCAUGACGGUACCGUAAGAAUAAGCACCGGCUAACUACGUGCCAGCAGCCGCGGUAAUACGUAGGGUGCGAGCGUUAAUCGGAAUUACUGGGCGUAAAGCGUGCGCAGGCGGUUAUGUAAGACAGAUGUGAAAUCCCCGGGCUCAACCUGGGAACUGCAUUUGUAACUGCAUGGCUAGAGUACGGUAGAGGGGGAUGGAAUUCCGAGUGUAGCAGUGAAAUGCGUAGAUAUGCGGAGGAACACCGAUGGCGAAGGCAAUCCCCUGGGCCUGUACUGACGCUCAUGCACGAAAGCGUGGGGAGCAAACA